rnacentral:rRNA from 1 species
GACGAACGCUGGCGGCGUGCUUAACACAUGCAAGUCGAACGGAAAGGCCCUGCUUUUGUGGGGUGCUCGAGUGGCGAACGGGUGAGUAACACGUGAGUAACCUGCCCUUGACUUUGGGAUAACUUCAGGAAACUGGGGCUAAUACCGGAUAGGAGCUCCUGCUGCAUGGUGGGGGUUGGAAAGUUUCGGCGGUUGGGGAUGGACUCGCGGCUUAUCAGCUUGUUGGUGGGGUAGUGGCUUACCAAGGCUUUGACGGGUAGCCGGCCUGAGAGGGUGACCGGCCACAUUGGGACUUAGGUACGGCCCAGAAUCCUACGGGAGGCAGCAGGGGGGAAUAUUGCACAAUGGGCGGAAGCCUGAUGCAGAAACGCCGCGUGCGGGAUGACGGCCUUCGGGUUGUAAACCACUUUCGCCUGUGACGAAGCGUGAGUGACGGUAAUGGAUAAAGAAGCACCGGCUAACUACGUG